GACAACAAAAGGCGUGGGCGCGGAGGGCGGAGGAAGGCCGCGGCGUGGGGCGCUAGCCUGCGAAGACCUGGGCUGUCCCGAGCCGGUCGGUGCGCCGCGGGCCCGAGGGGCGCGAAGCCGGCGGCACCCGGCCUGCGGCGGCCCCGCUGAGGGUCGCGGACGCGGCGGGCGAGCGGCGGACGGAGCGGGGCGUCCUGAGGAGUCCAGAUCUUACAUAAAAUGGAUGUUUCUCACACUGUUAUUGAACACUAAGUGCGUAAUCUUUUCGGUGAAAUCCAAACUGCCAUGGAAGAAAUACCAAUAAAAGUCGCUGUCCGCAUCCGACCUCUGCUCUGCAAAGAAGUCCUACACAAUCAUCAAGUGUGUGUGCGGGACAUUCCCAAAACCCAGCAGAUUAUCAUUGGGAGAGAUAGAGUUUUUACUUUUGACUUUGUUUUUGGCAAAAACUCCACUCAAGAUGAAGUUUAUAGCACAUGCAUCAAGCCCCUCGUGCUGUCCCUCAUAGAAGGCUACAACGCAACUGUUUUUGCAUAUGGACAAACUGGAUCUGGGAAGACAUACACCAUUGGAGGAGGCCAUGUCGCAUCAGUUGUGGACGGUCAAAAGGGCAUCAUUCCUCGCGCCAUCCAAGAAAUAUUUCAGAGCAUCUCUGGAAAUCCUAACAUUGACUUUAAAAUCAAAGUGUCGUAUAUAGAAGUGUAUAAGGAAGACCUAAGAGAUCUCCUAGAGCUGGAGACAUCCAUGAAGGACCUUCACAUCCGAGAAGAUGAGAAGGGGAACACAGUGAUUGUUGGGGCCAAGGAGUGCCAGGUCGACAGCGUGGAGGAUGUGAUGGGCCUGCUGCAGGUAGGGAAUGCGGCCAGGCACACAGGCACCACCCAGAUGAACGAGCACUCCAGCAGGUCCCACGCGAUUUUCACAAUAAGUGUGUGCCAAGUCGGGAAAAGUGCAGAGGCCACUGAAGACGGAGAGUGGUGCUCACAUCGGCAUAUUGUCUCCAAAUUCCACUUUGUGGAUUUGGCUGGGUCAGAAAGAGUGACCAAGACCGGGAAUACUGGCGAGCGAUUCAAAGAGUCCAUUCAAAUCAACAGUGGGCUGCUUGCUCUAGGGAAUGUAAUAAGUGCCCUUGGGGACCCACGCAGGAAGAGCUCCCAUGUCCCGUAUAGGGAUGCGAAGAUUACCCGGCUUCUGAAAGACUCCCUGGGAGGCAGUGCCAAGACUGUCAUGAUCACCUGUGUCAGCCCGUCCUCCUCGGACUUUGACGAGUCCUUAAAUUCUCUCAAAUAUGCCAACAGAGCACGGAACAUUAGAAACAAACCUACUUUAAACUUCAGCCCCCAGGCAGACCGAAUGGAUGAAAUGGAAUUUGAGAUUAAGUUGCUUCGAGAAGCUUUGCAGAGCCAUCAGGCCAGUAUCAGUCAAACGAGCCAGACAGCUUCAGAGAAUGUUCCUGACCAGAAUCGAAUCCACUCUCUGGAGGAACAGAUAGCCCAGCUCCAGGAGGAAUGUUUGGGCUACCAGGACUGCAUAGAGCAAGCCUUUGCCUUCCUAGUGGACUUAAAAGAUGCUGUUAGGCUGAACCAGAAACAGCAGCACAAGCUGCAGCAGUGGUUUAGCAGAACUCAGGAAGUCAGGAAGGCUGUCCUCACCCCUUUACCAGGAAACCAGAGUAUUGGGAACCUGGAAGAAGGACCCCAGCAUGUGACAGUCCUCCAGCUGAAGAGAGAACUUAAGAAAUACCAGUGUGCUCUGGCCGCUGACCAAGUGGUUUUCACGCAGAAGGAGCUCGAGCUGGAGGAGCUCAGGAGGCAAAUGCAGCUGAUGGCGCAGGAGAGCAAAGGGCACGCUGUGUCUUUGAAAGAAGCACAGAAAGUGAAUCGAUUGCAGAAUGAAAAGAUAAUAGAGCAGCAGCUCCUUGUGGACCAGCUGAGUGAGGAACUAGCAAAACGUAGCUCGUCGAUGCCCACCUCCACCAAGGAAAGCUGUGGGGACGGGCCUGACGCCAGGGCCCCAGAAAAGCGACCUCACACGGCUCCGUUUGACAGUCACUGGGGACAUUAUGUUUAUAUCCCAUCAAGACAGGAUUUCAAGAAGGUUUGCUCAAGUUCUCCUGUAUACUCUCUGGAUCAAGUAUUCGCUGGCUUCCGAACUCGAAGUCAGAUGCUGAUGGGUCACCUAGAAGACCAAGAUGAAGUUCUCCACUGCCAGUUCUCUGACAACAGUGAUGAUGAGGACUCAGAGGGCCAGGAGAAGCCCAGAGUUAGAUCUAGAAGUCACUCAUGGGUCAAAAAGCCAGGCUCUGUUUGCUCUCUUGUUGAAAUGAGUGACACUCAGGCUGAGUGUCAGAGGUCCUAUCUGGGGAAUGGAGAUUUGAAGAUGGAAUCUCUCCAAGAGAGUCAAGAGUUAAAUUUACAAAAAUUAAGGACUUCAGAACUCAUACUUAAUAAAGCUAAACAGAAAAUGCGAGAACUCACAAUCAACAUCAGGAUGAAAGAAGAUCUGAUCAAAGAGUUAAUCAAAACAGGUGACAAUGCCAAGUCUGUGAGCAGACAGUAUUCUCUGAAGGUAACGAAGCUGGAGCAUGAGGCUGAGCAGGCAAAGGUGGAGCUCACGGAAACCCGAAAGCAGCUGCAGGAGCUGGAAGGCAAAGACCUCUCUGAUGUUGCUCUGAAGGUAAAAUUACAGAAGGAGUUCCGUAAAAAGAUGGAUGCUGCAAAGCUGAGAGUUCAGGUCUUACAAAAGAAGCAGCAAGAUAGUAAGAAGUUGGCGUCACUGUCCAUCCAAAAUGAGAAGCGGGCCAGUGAGCUGGAGCAGAACGUGGAUCACCUGAAAUACCAGAAAGUGCAGCUGCAGAGAAGGCUUCGGGAAGAGAGCGAGAAAAAGAAGCAGCUGGAUGCAGAAGUUAAGAGAGAUCAACAAAAACUCAAAGAGCUGCAGUUAAAUGCAGGGCAGGGAGAAGGUCUGCACCCCAAGGCUGAGGACACGGAUGCCUUUAACUUGAACAGAAGAAAAGGUCCUUUCAGAAGUGUGGACCAACUCCAGAAAUUGGAUGAGCAAAGGAAAUGGUUAGAUGAAGAAGUAGAGAAAGUUCUAAGCCAGCGCCAGGAACUAGAGAUGCUGGAGGAAGAGCUGAAGAAGCGCGAGGCCAUCGUCUCCAAGAAGGAAGCCCUGCUGCAGGAGAAGAGCCACCUGGAAAAUAAGAAGCUCCGAUCUAGCCAGGCCUUAAGCACAGACAGUCUCAAAAUAUCUGCUCGCCUGAACUUGCUGGACCAAGAGUUAUCUGAAAAGAGCUUGCUGCUUGAGAACAGCCCGACUGAGGAGAAGGUGAAGAUCUCAGAACAAGUGCAAGCUCUUCAGAGAGAAAGGGAGCAGCUCCAGAGACAGAGAAACAGUGUGGAUGAGAAGCUGAGACAUGGGAGAGUGCUGUCCCCUAAAGAGGAACAUCUCCUUUUCCAACUUGAAGAAGGAAUAGAGGCUCUGGAAGCUGCGAUUGAAUUCAAGAACGAAAGCAUCCAGAAUCGCCAGAGCUCCCUCAAAUCAUCAUUCCAGAACCUCUCUCAAAGUGAAUCGAAUGUUCUGGAGAAACUAGUUUGCCUGAAUAUUGCUGAGAUUAGAGCUAUUCUUUUCAAAUAUUUCAACAAGGUGAUAAAUUUGCGAGAAGCUGAACGUAAACAACAGUUGCAGAAUAAAGAGAUGAAAAUGAAGGUUCUGGAACGGGAUAAUAUGGUCCACGAGUUAGAAUCUGCAUUGGAGUAUCUGAGACUGCAGUGUGACCGAAGACUGACCCUCCAGCAAAAGGAACAUGAACAGAAGAUGCAGUUGUUGUUACAUCAUUUCAAAGACCAAGAUGGAGAAGGCAUUAUAGAAACCUUAAACAAAUACGAAGACAAGAUCCAGCAGCUGGAAAAGGACCUUUACUUCUACAAGAAAACCAGCAGAGACCUCAAGAAGAGACUGAAGGACCCCGUGCAGGGAGCAGUGCAGUGGCAGCGUACACUGACGGAGCAUCAUGAUGCUGGAGAUGGAGUUCUGAAUCCAGAAGAGGCCGCUGUGCUUUCUGAAGAACUAAAAUGGGCAUCUAGAACUGAAAAUACAAAAUUGAAUGGAAGAGAAAAAGAAGUAGACAAUUCUUCAAGCAGCCUAAAAACCCCACCGCUGACCCAGCAGAUCCUGGAAGACGGCCCAGACUCACUUCCAGUCUGCGGCUCGUUAGCACCCUCCAGUGGCCAACUGCAGAGCAGUGCCGAUAAAACAGAGGCCCAUGCCUUCACACAAUCUCAGAGUCCACCCCCACCCCAGCUUCAGCCUGUGAGGAGUAUAGCACAACUUCAGGGGGUCAAGCCUGUCAAAGUGUGCCGCAGAGAACUGCGGCAGAUUUCUGCACUGGAGCUGACAUUACGGCGGUCCAGUCUUGGAGCUGGGGUCCGAUCAGUGACCGCUGACUCCCUCGAAGAACCGGAGGAAAGCUAGCGAUGUCAAGGCACAGGCUGUGAACAAUAAAACUCUUAGUUAUUUUUAUAGAAUGCAAAUUUUCACCUUUAUCCUGCCCUAUGCAUUCUACAUCACCUCUCAGACAAUGCCAGAAUUGAGAGAAAUGUCUGCAGCUUCCUGGACAGGGAAACUGACCACAGAGUAACCCAAGUCAUUCAUCGUUCCAAGGAAGAAAGCUGUGAAGGUCCAUGUAACAGGGUCCGGAGACCUUAGCACGACUGAGACCAUGACUGAAGUACCAUUCGGGCGGUAAACCUCAGCAAGUAGGCAGCACCCCUACCAAACCGAAGGCCUAAGCCAUCAAAGCCCACAGUUCUAGGAAGGUCCCUAAAUGUACUCCAGGGUUUUUACUUUCUGUAGUCCUGCUUCUGGCUAACUUUUCUUGUCGACUGAUGUAUAUCAACCUAGGACAUGGUCUCUGUGUUCAAAAGCUCACUCUGAGAAAGACUCAGGCAUGCACUAAGAUCCCAAACACCAGUGUAGUCACUGGCCAGCUUAAUAAAGAUUUCUCUUGGCUUAAACCCAUGUCUGAGCAGUCUCUGGUAGAUAGCCCUAACAGUCAUUAGGCAUGGAAUUGCCUUUAUUUGGGUUCUCUGAACCCAAAGAUACUAAGUUAGACUUAAGUGUUACGUUCCACUGGCUAACUCUGGCCAAUCUCUAAUGGAUUAUGGCUCCACUGCUUUAAGAGACACAGCAAUUUUACCGUCUUCAUUCCAAUGUGUAAGAUCCUUUAUGCUCAAGGAAUAAAGCCACUCAGAAAAGUAAAAUGUUUAAAACUUUUUAAAAUGUCAUCAAAGUAGAACAAAUGGAAAUUAAAGGUACUCAGGUUUUAUAGUUUCAAGCUUACUACAGUAUAUACAAAACAUAGUAUGAUUUUUUUCAAAUCCAGAUAGGUAAAUAUUGUUCAUUUGAUUUGAUUUAAGCUGUCUAUCUCUCCCAGUGCUGGAGAUGAAGCCCAGGCCUUGUGUGCUACACACGCACCCUGCACUGGCCUAACAUGUCCUUUUACCCCUCCAUGUUAGAUUUAUAUGUGUGUAUUAGAGGGAGUACACACACAUGCAUGUGCCCAAAGAGGCCAGAAGGAGCUACGCUUAGGUAUAAGCUGCCCAGUAAGGAUGCUGGGAACUAACUUUGGUUGCCUGAAAAAGUCGCAAGCAUUGGUAACAGCUGAGCCACCCCUGCAGCCCUGCAAGUGCCUGUGCAUUCUCCCUCCCCUCUCCUCCCCUCCCCCUUCCCUCUCCCCUCCCCUCUCCCUUUCUCCUUCUCUCCUCUGCACUCCCCUCACCCUUUCCUCUCCUCUCCACUCUCCUCCCUCUUUCUCUCCUCUCUCCUCCCCUCCCCUUCCCUCUCCCCUCCCCUCCCCCUUUCCUCUUCUCCUCACUCCCCUCCCCUCCUCCUAGCAAGGUUCUCUUAUUCCCUAGAGAGUCUGCUCUCUAGGCCCUCUGGAGUGAUGGGAUUACCAGUGGUCACCACUGCACUCUCCAAAACAGCAUGGAAUACAUUGUUUUAGAAGAAUUAUCACCCGAUCCUAUGUCCCCAAUUCUCAGCAGCAAAUUAGAAGCACAUGAUGCUUUACCCUUCACUCUCCACUGAGACCAGGUGACAGCUGAGAACGAGGGACAGGAAUGGAGGGAUAACACAAGUUUACUUGGAAGUAUUUCAUAAAAAAGUAUAUUUUUUUACUUAUUUGGAGAGGACUUAUUUUAUUUCUCUGACAUAAGGACAGAAAUGUAACACCAACACCCAGGCAUCUCCAAGCCUACAUUAGAUUCUUGUGGAAGACACCCAUUGAAACCUCCUCUACAGAAGACUCAGAGUGAGCACUGAGCUUGACAUCUGAAAAUACACAGCCCUCUAAUCCCAGCAGAUCUCAGAAUUUGGGGCCAGCCUGAUCUACAGAGCGAGUUAUAAGACAACCAGAGAAACCCUGUCUCGAAAAAGAACAAAAGAAAAAAGAAAUGAACACAGCCCAGUGUUUAUACUGUUUCUUUUCCUGUGGUUACCAUUUACUCAGGAUUCUAUAAAAGCCCCCCCAACCCCCUGACAGCAGUGAGCGAAACUGGAAGCCAACAGCACUAGAGACAGUAAUGUCAAGAGGGUUUAAGACUCACGUGAGCCUACAGUGAAGAACCAGAGAGUCGAUAAAGCAAAUGAUUGAAGACAAAUUGAUGACUCAGCUCUACUAAACUGAAUAAUCUCAAUUAGUUUGCUUAAUUUCCCCCUCGUCAAAAUAUCCAUGUGGAGAGAUCUUCAUUCAUUCAUUACAAACCAGUAGUCAUUUGUCUGCCUUGAGAGGCAGAGCUUGUCUUGGCUGAGGACUUAGAAGAAUUGUUACUUUUUAACAUACCUUGGUCUCUGGUUAGAAGAAUAGGAAAUGGAGCACUGUGAAGCCAGGGUCAGUCCUGAGGUGAGUUCGUAUCCUCUCAAGACUGGCAGCAUCUGAACUUCUCCUCACUGGACACGUUCUCAGCUAGGUCUGGGGUUCAGCAGUUAUAACCACCCCAGCUGUAAUCUUAAUAUAGGUAUCAGUGGUGUUUUCCAAACUACCAGUAAGCCUUUUUCAAAAUUAAAAGAGCUAUUUAUCAUUUUUGAUUUUUAAAAAAUGAAGUAUUUCAAAUGCAACGUUUGUAAUCCCUUUAACGAGAAGGAAAUGGCCGUUUUAGAUUAUAUGUGGCAGUCUGUUGCUUUCCUAGAGAAACACACACAUUCAGAAGUAGUGCAAUGUGUGUUUACGAUAAGAUUUGGGUUCCCAACGUUGCCUACUUAAGUGGACUAACUUCCAGCACAUGUGUAAUAAAGUGUUUUCUAGAUGAAUUGCCCUCCAGUUCAUACAUCUUAACAGAGGCUACCACAGUCUCUGCAUUUUCAUGCGACUUCUGUCAGCAAAGUAUCUAAAAUGUGCUAAGUCCUCCUCAACAGACUAAGUCAUACUUUGUUACUAUCCUUGAUUUAUGAGUGAAAAACCACAUUUUUACCGGGAUUUGGACCAAUCUUGCUGGCCACUUGUUACUUCCUCCUUUAGCAAUGGCUACUUCAGAAUGACUGAACCAUAACUGGAACGAUGACAUCUCCUGAAGCUGAAGAGGCCGGCUUCACUUGUGGCUCAUUUCACAGAUAGAUAAUCAGACUGCCAGCACACAGCUUUCAUAAAGGCUGAUCUACACUCAGAUACAGAAGGAAUCAGAUCAAAUUUGAUGUUACCAUGGUAGCUGUCCAUUGUGGGUUUUCAGAGGGAGCUCCUUCCCAGUAGUUUGUGUGUAUGUAGUGAUGUUAAUGCUCCACUCCUACACCAGAGGACCCAUGGCCUCAACAGGCAAACCAUCAGGAGGUGACCCGAGGUUAGUAGAACCUACGGUCUGAAGAGUUCUGUGGGAUUGUGAACCAAUAAGGAAGGAGGAAGACUUCCUGAGUGAGGGCUGGGGCUACAGCUCAGUGUCAGAGUGAGUGCCUAAAUAAAUUCCCAGGAGCUUAAAGUAGAAAAUUUACUGUCUUCCAUGAGCAAGGAAGCUAGAUAUUAAAAGAUCUGACCGAUUUUAGUUGGCCAAGUUAUCCCAAACCUGGACUCCUCAGGCCCAGAGGCAGCGACCUGCUUAAGUUUGAGGUGUUGUUACUGUUUGAAAGGCACAGUGUUGCUGUCCUGGAACUUAGUACAUAGACCAGGCUGGCUUUGAACUCCCAGAGUUUGACCUGCUUCUGCCUCCUGAGUGUUGGGAAUGAUUGGGUGGGCCAGCAUGCUCACCCUCUGCUUAAGUUCCUUUUGUUUCACUUUAAGUCUCUCUUAGGCAUGUUACCCAUUGCCUCUUCCCCCAGUACACACACCCAAGUGGACAACUGGGCGAGCUGCCACAGAAUGCAGAACAUGCCUGCCACUCAGGUCAAGGGACAACCUCAGCAGCUCACCUAACUCUCCUGCUCAUCAAACUGCUACCUCCCACAGUGGAGUUUUCUGGAAGAGGGGUAGCUGUCUUUGUUGAGAUUUCUGCUUUUCCUUUUAAGUGGAUUAUAUUUUAAGAAAACUAUUCAGUUUAUCACAAAAUGGAGCAGACAAUAGAGGUUUCACAAACCUACCCAAUUGCACACACGUGGCCGUCUCAAUAAUGUCAAAUAGAGUACUGCAUUUGUCAUAACUGAUGCCUUCCUCUUACGGGCUGCUCAGCUCUGAUUAUGUAGCCCAGGCUAGCCUUGAAUUUGCAGUCAUCCGCCUCCUGAAUGCUGUUACAGAUGUGAACCAGAUGCUCACAUCUCAGAGAGCUCUUUGUUACCCAGUGUUCAUAGUUUAUGUGAGGAUUCACUAUCAGUGUUGCACACUGUAAGGGUCCAGACGGCUGUGAAGCACGGUGUCGUGGAUAGCAGUCUCACUACCUAAAUAAAAAUCCUGCGGUCUGCCUA